ensembl:rRNA 5S_rRNA 5S ribosomal RNA
GCCCUGGCCCCUAUCAGCCUGAAGGCGCCCGAUCUCGUCUAAUCUCGGAAGCUAAGCAGGGUCGGGCCUGGUUAGUAUCUUGGAUGGGAGACCACCUGGGAAUCCCGGGUGCUCGAGGAC